rnacentral:lncRNA from 1 species
CUGAGCAGAUAGAGGAAUGUAGGUAGGAGGAUACAGAAACUCUUUCUCUUUUCAGUCUGAGGAUUUCACAGAGUUUCUGCCUCCAGGUUCCUGCAUUGCCUUCCCUUUGUGAAGGACUGUGAACUAUGAUACCAUUAUUGCAGUCUGUAUAAGAAUGCUCUCGAGACUGUUGGGGGCAAGCCCACAAUGCCAAUUCCUUUCAGUGGCCUUCUGAAAUUACUACAGACUCCAACCAGAAAAUGAGACUGUUUUCUGGGAUUUGUCAUUUUUAUCUCCUGGCAGUAGUCUGGCCAUUAUGUAUUUGGCACUGGUUGUGCAUGACCAGGACCAUAGGACAAGAUUUGUAAAUUUUUAGGUCUUUUGAAGAUUGUACCAGAAAUGCUCCUUUCCCACUUGUAUCUCUGAAUAUGGCAUCAAAUCUGAGAUUUUUAGCACAAAAGGAAGUAUCUCAGGUCACAGGAGAAACCUGAAUGUCAUCGUAGUAUCCAUCAUUUACCCUUUGCACAAAAAAACUGAAAGUUGCUUGGUUGCAAACUUUCAGAGGCCAGACGGAAGCAGAUGCAUGGAACUGGAGUUACAGCCCCUGUGUAUCCCCUGAAGUGGGUGCUGCAGACCCUCUACUCUGAAAGAAUAGUAAUUAUUGUCAUCCUGUUAGGUACAUUCCCAGCUACAGUUCAAGUGUUUAAGAGGAUUUUAUCUCAAUAAAUUUCAUCCUUGAGAAAGGUAGAUCUG